rnacentral:rRNA from 1 species
UACGUAGGGUGCAAGCGUUAAUCGGAAUUACUGGGCGUAAAGCGUGCGCAGGCGGUUAUAUAAGACAGUUGUGAAAUCCCCGGGCUCAACCUGGGAACUGCAUCUGUGACUGUAUAGCUAGAGUACGGUAGAGGGGGAUGGAAUUCCGCGUGUAGCAGUGAAAUGCGUAGAUAUGCGGAGGAACACCGAUGGCGAAGGCAAUCCCCUGGACCUGUACUGACGCUCAUGCACGAAAGACGUGGGGAGCAAACGAGG